CCUACGGGAGGCNGCCGUGGGGAAUUUUGCGCAAUGGGGGAAACCCUGANGCAGCGACCCCGCCUGGAUGAUGAAGGCCUUUGGGUUGUAAAAUCCUGUUCNGGGGGAAGAAAGCUUAAGGGUCCAAUAAACCCUUAAGC
rnacentral:rRNA from 1 species